rnacentral:misc_RNA from 1 species
GCACAAACAGAGCAAUAGUACCUCCUCUUGGUCUUGAAGUAUAGAGGCAAGAAACAGAACCUCCACUGGCUUUCUACAUCCAUGGCCUGAAUCAUCCCUCCACAGUAAGGACACGCUCCAGGCGCUACCUGUCUCCCUAUCACCCUCUCAUCUUCAUCGCAAACAAACACUAAACACAUCUCUGAUAUUUCCCCUUGAUUUCUUGACUUGUUGCACAACCUCCACUCAGAUCACAAAAUCAACACACCUCUCGACGAUCGCUGACUCAAUUGCUUGAUUUCUUGCUCGCCCUCAGAUAAGAGGAUCAACUCGCUAAGAAGGUUAUUUGGGUAUUUAUA